rnacentral:rRNA from 1 species
GCAAAACGCGAAGAACCUUACCUACCCUUGACAUGUCUGGAAUCCCGAAGAGAUUUGGGAGUGCUCGCAAGAGAACCGGAACACAGGUGCUGCAUGGCUGUCGUCAGCUCGUGUCGUGAGAUGUUGGGUUAAGUCCCGCAACGAGCGCAACCCUUGUCAUUAGUUGCUACGAAAGGGCACUCUAAUGAGACUGCCGGUGACAAACCGGAGGAAGGUGGGGAUGACGUCAAGUCCUCAUGGCCCUUAUGGGUAGGGCUUCACACGUCAUACAAUGGUCGGGACAGAGGGUCGCCAACCCGCGAGGGGGAGCCAAUCCCAGAAACCCGAUCGUAGUCCGGAUCGCAGUCUGCAACUCGACUGCGUGAAGUCGGAAUCGCUAGUAAUCGCGAAUCAGAAUGUCGCGGUGAAUACGUUCCCGGGUCUUGUACACACCG